CUACGGGAUGCACCAGUGAGGAAUAUUGCGCAAUGGGGGAAACCCUGACGCAGCGACGCCGCGUGGAUGAUGAAGGCCUUCGGGUCGUAAAAUCCUGUCAGAAGGAAAGAAGUAUAUGGUAGCUAAUAUCUGCCAUAUUUGACGGUACCUUCAAAGGAAGCACCGGCUAACUCCGUGCCAGCAGCCGCGGUAAUACGGAGGGUGCAAGCGUUGUUCGGAAUUACUGGGCGUAAAGCGCGCGUAGGCGGCUGUUUAAGUCAGAUGUGAAAGCCCAUGGCUUAACCAUGGACGUGCAUUUGAUACUGGGCAGCUUGAGUACUGGAGGGGGUGGUGGAAUUCCCGGUGUAGAGGUGAAAUUCGUAGAUAUCGGGAGGAAUACCGGUGGCGAAGGCGACCACCUGGCCAGAUACUGACGCUGAGGUGCGAAAGCGUGGGGAGCAAACAGGAUUAGAUACCCGGGUAGUC
rnacentral:rRNA from 1 species